CCUACGGGUGGCUGCAGUCGAGAAUCAUUCACAAUGGGGGAAACCCUGAUGGUGCGACGCCGCGUGGGGGAAUGAAGGUCUUCGGAUUGUAAACCCCUGUCAUGUGGGAGCAAAUUGAAAAGAUAGUGCCACAAGAGAAAGAGACGACUAACUCUGUGCCAGCAGCCGCGGUAAUACAGAGGUCUCAAGCGUUGGUCGGAAUCACUGGGCGUAAAGCUUGCGUAGGCGGUUUCGUAGGUCGUGGGUGAAAGGCGCGGGCUCAACCCGCGGACGGCACAUGAUACUGGGAGACGAGAGUAAUGGUGGGGGAGCCGGAAUUCGUGGUGUAGCGGUGAAAUGCGUAGAUAUCGCGAGGAACACUGGUGGCGAAGGCGGGUUACUAGACAGCAACUGACGCUGAGGCACGAAGGCCAGGGGAGCGAAAGGGAGUAGAUACCCUGGUAGUC
rnacentral:rRNA from 1 species